rnacentral:rRNA from 1 species
AUUGAACGCUGGCGGCAUGCCUUACACAUGCAAGUCGAACGGUAGAGUAGCAAUACUUGAGAGUGGCGAACGGGUGAGUAAUAUAUCGGAACGUGCCCAGUCGUGGGGGAUAACGUAGCGAAAGCUACGCUAAUACCGCAUACGAUCUAUGGAUGAAAGCGGGGGAUCGCAAGACCUCGCGUGAUUGGAGCGGCCGAUAUCAGAUUAGGUAGUUGGUGAGGUAAAGGCUCACCAAGCCGACGAUCUGUAGCUGGUCUGAGAGGACGACCAGCCACACUGGGACUGAGACACGGCCCAGACUCCUACGGGAGGCAGCAGUGGGGGAAUUUUUGGACAAUGGGCGCAAGACCUGAUCCAGCAAUGCCGCGUGCAGGAUGAAGGCCUUCGGUU